AGUGAAUGAACCACGAAAGGGGGAAGUAUAAAACCAAGACACUAUUCUGAACUUACUAUUAAAAUCUAUUGGCACUUUAAACAGACAACUUGUUUCAUCUUAUAUAUUUUCUUUUUUUUUUUCUGUCAUUUCAAUUUUAUCAAUACAUUUGAUUAUUAUUUUUAAAAUGAGUGAAAUAUAUUACUGGUGAUAGAGAACUCUUUUAAUAUAAAGAUAGAGAAUGAAUAAAAAUGUAUGUAUGAGUGAUAUAAAAUAAAGUUUUUAUAUAUAUUAGGACUGGUGAUUAUUUUUGUGGCAUUGGUAGAUUUGUCAGUGGGAUACAAACCUGUGAGAUCCUUAAAAUAUUAUCGUCCAAAACCUUGGGGAUAUCGCCGAGCACAAUGGCACAGAUAUUCACAUUCACAUAAAAGUAUAUUGAAAAAACGUCGCCCGAAGUUGUCUCAUUAUCCUCCUCACUGGCGUCCUGAAAGAUCCCGCCAUCAAAGUAACAAGGAGCCUUUUACAAUCGAAUUUGAAUUACCCAAAUAUCCUGAAAAUUAUUCAAACAGAUGGAGAGAUAACUACCAAAAUAAUGAGGAUUAUGAUUAUUCCAAUGAUUACAUCGAUGAGGAGUAUGCUGAGGAUAAUCGUCAAGUUAGAGUUCAGGUACUGAAAGAAGGGGAGAGACAUCUGCGAAUAAAAUUAUCUCGUAAUGAUAAUUUUAAUAUAAAUAGUAGAAACGAUGAUAAUUAUUCAAUUAAUCGAUUGAAAAUGAUUUCAAUCCAGCAGCAGCAAAAUCUUGAUAGCAGUGGUAAUAGUAGUGGUAGUAAAUUUAUUAGAUCAUCUUCACCGCCAGAAGUUGUCGUGCGCAGUUGGAAAGGUGGUUGACAGACUGACUCCUGCUACUGAAUCUACUCUCUAUCCUUUAUCCUCCCAUUUUUUAAUUUCCGACUUGAGAAACCAACUAAAGUGACUUUUGAUGUAAACUCAACAUGCCGUCGGUAUGCUACUACUUGCAAUUUCAUUUUAUUUAAUGUCUCGUUACUCAUACUGAUAUAUCUAUAUAUAUAUAUUUCCGCGACACGAAAUUUAUUUAUAAAUAAGCUGUUGGAAAAAAAAAAUUUAUUGCAUCUCUCAUUUUUUAAUUUUUUUUUCUUGGUAUUUGGUAUUAAAAUAUUUAUAUUUAUUAUUGAUAAAUACAAGUAAAGUCGUAAAGUUAAAAAUAAAGGGCUUGUGUGCAAUAUGUAUACUUCCGAGUAACAAUACAAACAAUAAUAAUUAUAUUAAAAAAAUAAAUAAAUAGUUGUAAAGGUCAACAGUGGUAUAGGUGGUAUAGGUAUCCAGGGUUUGGCCACGAGCUGUUACGUUUUGCUUCGGCUUCUUCGGCAUCGAUCCACUCGCCCGUUUCCCGCCAUUUCGUCCUUUUCACCCAACUCCUCCUUAAACUUAUUUUUUUCAACCCUCAACACGUUACAUGUACAGUAUUGCUAGUUUUUGCACAUAUUGUGCCCAUGUUCGUGAUACAGAUGCUGCUGAAAUUAAAAAUAGAAAUUUAUCUCGAAAUUAUUAUUAUUUUUUUUUCUUUCUUUGGUUUUAUUUCUAACAUAAUAGUCAACGAACAUAUACAAUAAUGGUAAUAAAUACUUAUUUGUAUAUUUAUUAUACAGGUCAAAUUUUUUUUUUUUUUUUUAUUUACUUAUUUCGUUAAUAAUUUUUCAAACUCUCUUGUCCUCACAUUAACAACGUGUAACACUCAGCUCACAUUCUGCCAGUAGUCGUUUAUUAUUAUUAUUAUUAUUAUUAUUAUGUUUUUUUUAUCAUUAGUUCAAUAGUUGAGUGAACGAUGUGACAGAAAAAUCUACACACUCAUGUCACGUCUCAAUUAUCGACAUGUUAUUCUUUGUUUUUUUUUUUUUACAAUAUAAUGAUAUAUAUGAGUAUAAAAAAAAAUAAAGAGUGAAAUAAAACAAAUAUUUGUUAAGUACAAAUUUUCUUAACG